rnacentral:lncRNA from 1 species
GAGAAGAGUGUGAAGGGAGAACGGGGGGAGGAGGGUAGAGGCCUUGGCUUGGUAUGGGGGGGACGGGGAAAUAAGCACGCUUGCCUGUUGUGUGUUUUUUUCGGAAUAGGGGGUCUGCUAAACUGGGGCCGAAAGGGAGAGCAAGGGGAAAGCCCAGCGUCCCGUGAGGCCGCUGAGCUCAUAACGAACCCCACGUGUCACCUCCACACACACACCCCAACUACCUCACCCCCCUCCACUUCCCCCCACGCCCCCUCUCUCUAUCUCUAUCUCCCCUGCCUCCUCUUCCCUCCCUUCGCCGUCAUCGUGUUUGUUCACGCGCAAGAGGAGAAGGUUCCCGUACCCGUCUCCUCUUCCUAGCUCCAACUCCCACGUUCCAGCGCCUCUCCUACACCCUGCUCCCC